rnacentral:rRNA from 1 species
UGGGGAAUCUUCCGCAAUGGACGAAAGUCUGACGGAGCAACGCCGCGUGUAUGAUGAAGGUCUUCGGAUUGUAAAGUACUGUCAUUGGGGGAAAGAACGGUUUUUCCUUGAAAAGAUUGAGGAGACAUGACGGUACCCAAGGAGGAAGCCCCGGCUAACUACGUGCCAGCAGCCGCGGUAAUACGUAGGGGGCAAGCGUUGUCCGGAAUUAUUGGGCGUAAAGGGCGCGUAGGCGGGCCUUUAAGUCCGGUGUGAAAGAUCAGGGCUCAACCCUGAGAGUGCAUCGGAAACUGGAGGCCUUGAGGACAGGAGAGGAAAGUGGAAUUCCACGUGUAGCGGUGAAAUGCGUAGAUAUGUGGAGGAACACCAGUGGCGAAGGCGACUUUCUGGACUGUAACUGACGCUGAGGCGCGAAAGCGUGGGAGCAAACAGGAUUAGAUACCCUGGUAGUCACGCCGUAAACGAUGAGUGCUAGGUGUAGAGGGCUAUCGA